rnacentral:rRNA from 1 species
GACGAACGCUGGCGGCGUGCCUAAUACAUGCAAGUCGAACGAAGUCUUUCUGGUGCUUGCCCCUGAAAAACUUAGCGGCGCACGCGUGAGUAACACGUAAAGAACCUUCCUCAUUGACUGGGACUACCAUUGGAAACGUUACCCUAUACCGGAUAACAGCCUUAACUGCAUGGCUGAUGUUUUAAAGUUGUUUUUGCUAACACUAUGAGAUUGCUUUGUGGUGCAUUAGCUAGUUGGCGGGGUAAAGGCCUACCAAGGCGACGAUGCAUAGCCGACCUGAGAGGAUGAUCAGCCACACUGGAACUGAGACACGGUCCAGACUCCUACGGGAGGCAGCAGUAGGGAAUAUUGCACAAUGGGCGAAAGCCCGACGGAGCAACGCCGCGUGAGUGAAGAAGGAUUUCGGGUCGUAAAGCUCUGUUGUUAGGGAAGAAUGAUAGUAUGGUAAUACCACGCAGUAGAGACGGUACCUAAACAAAAAGCAACGGCUAACUACGUG